ACAGCCCUUAGAAGUAUUGCAGAUGUGGCUGCUGUGUCACAUGUUUGUGAAUUGGUGGCAGAGAGGAAAAAAGCUGUAUCUACUCUCAGUGUUCUGACCUGCAGACAUCUGAAUGAUGAGUCACCUAACAGU